AGCCACCGCAUCCUUCAGGAGAUCCAGACACACUGGACACAUGAACUGGUCCACAGAAAGCUGAUCUACUGAAAUACUGGCCUCGGCCAUUUUCCUGAAAUCACAGAGAGAGAGAUCAGGGUUUUGUUUUUUUUCUCCGAAAUGAGGAGUUACUUCCUGGUUCUGUGUGUGAAAGAGAGAUGGAGAGAGGAGGAGCACAAACACAGAGAGAUAUCCAUUUCAGAAAAUUUUCUCUGCUUUUUGGCUGUGGUGGUGAAAUCAUCUGCUGAACUGCUGCAACUGUGGAGAAAAACGGAAACAAAGACAAAAGCAUCAGAAGUUUGUCUAAAAGUUGGAAAAAGGAACAGCUCCACGUACCAUGUGGACGGAUUUGGUUGAAUUCCUCCUUACAGAAUUAACCUCGUUGGAUUUUGUUCAAUUUCUUUUAAAUGAAGUCCUAAGGAAAGGUACAAAUAUUAGCCCCGCCCUAAAAUCACCAUCAGUCCACCCCUACACCUGAACAUCAUUAAAUUUUCAUGCAAAUUGAGUUGUGUGAAAUGAUAGAAAUGUGCAAAUCUGAGACCGUAUCAGUUAGAAUGUCUGGGUUUCUAAUUCCAUUAGAGAUCAUCUCAUCUCAUUAUCUGUAGCCGCUUUAUCCUUCUACAGGGUCGCAGGCAAGCUGGAGCCUAUCCCAGCUGACUACGGGCGAAAGGCGGGGU